rnacentral:tRNA from 1 species
GAGGGUAUAGCUCAGUGGUAGAGCGGGUGCUUAGCACACACGAGGUCCUGGGUUCAAUCCCCAGCACCUCCA